rnacentral:lncRNA from 1 species
CUCUUUUAAGGUAUGUUAAACUUGUGUGCUAUUACUUUUCCAUCGAUAAACACUUUGCUACAUUACAUAUUGGCUUUGUUAGAACAGUUAAACGAAUUAGCUACCCUAAUACAUCUGUUCAGCUACAAUGCACUGCCAUUUUUUAGUCUCACACAUACACACAAUAUUGAAGUAGCUACAGUAAUUAACUUGUUCAACUACAAUGCAAGCAUUUUGUCUUCCCACAUACAGUGCAUAUGCACACAUUACAACGGAAACCAGAUUGGAACUAGUUCAAUGUGAAAUGAAGGAUCCAAAAUUGAAGAGUAAAUGGUCAUCCUCUCUUUUAAGGUAUGUUAAUUUUCUGUGCUAUUACUUUUCUAUCCAUAAACACUUUACUACAU